rnacentral:rRNA from 1 species
AUUGAACGCUGGCGGCAGGCCUAACACAUGCAAGUCGAGCGAGCGGCGGACGGGUGAGUAAUGUCUGGGAAACUGCCUGAUGGAGGGGGAUAACUACUGGAAACGGUAGCUAAUACCGCAUACCAUCAGAUGUGCCCAGAUGGGAUUAGCUAGUAGGUGGGGUAGUGGCUCACCUAGGCGACGAUCCCUAGCUGGUCUGAGAGGAUGACCAGCGACACUGGAACUGAGACACGGUCCAGACUCCUGCGGGCGGCAGCAGGGGGGAAUAGUGCACAAUGGGCGAGAGCCUGAUGCAGCCAUGCCGCGUGUGGGGAGAAGGCCUUCGGGUUGUAAAGCACUUUCAGUGGUGAGGCGUUACCCGCAGAAGAAGCACCGGCUAACUCCGUGCCAGCAGCCGCGGUAAUUC